UACGUAGGGUGCAAGCGUUGUCCGGAAUUAUUGGGCGUAAAGAGCUUGUAGGCGGUUUGUCGCGUCUGCUGUGAAAUUUCGGGGCUCAACCCCGAACUUGCAGUGGGUACGGGCAGACUAGAGUGUGGUAGGGGAGACUGGAAUUCCUGGUGUAGCGGUGAAAUGCGCAGAUAUCGGGAAGAACACCCGUGGCGAAGGCGGCUACUCGUGGGACGGUACUGACGCUGAGACGCGAAAGCGUGGGGAGCGGAACAGG
rnacentral:rRNA from 1 species